ensembl:lncRNA
AUGGGAAUUCCCGUCACCACCACGGUGCAUCGAGGCGCGGGGACUCCUGCUCGGGGCUCUCCCCUGGGGUGGGAUCCCCCUCCGGAGCCGGGAUCCCUUCCCGGGCCGGCGCAUCCCGGGCCGGAGCCCCCCGAGCCCGGGCGGGCCCCGCGCUCACUCCCGGCCCGACCGCCCCACCUGGUGGCGGCCGCGGGAACUGCAGGAGGCGGCAGGUGGAGGUGGCCCUGUCCCCUCCCUGUCCCCUCCCUGGCCCUUCCUGUUCCUUUUCUGUCUCUUCCUUGUCCCGUCCCUGUCCCCUCCCUGUUCCUUUUCUGUCCCCUCCCCGUGCCUUCCCUGUCCCACUCCUGUCCCUUCCUGUCCACUCCCUGUCCCCAUCCUCUCUCCGUCCCCUCCCUGUCCCCAUCCCCUCUCUGUUCCCUCUCUGUCCCCUCCCUGUCCUUCCCUGUCCCUUACUCCCCCUGUUCCUCUCCCUGUCCCUUCCCUGUCCUUUCCCUGUCCCUUCCCUGUCCCUUCCCUUUCCCUUUCCCCUUCCCCUCACCGUCCCCUUUCUGUCCCCUCCCUGUCCCCUUCUUGUUCUUCCCUGUCCCUUUCCCUGUCCCUUUCCCAUCCCCUCCCCGUCCCUUCUCUGUCCCCUCUGUCCGUCCCUCUCCCUGUCCCUUCCCUGUCCCUUCCCUGUCCCUUCCCUGUCCCUUUCCUGUCCCCUCCCUGUCCCCUCCCAAUCCCGCCCCCUCCUCCCCACUGGGCUCGGUCCCCGAUCGUUUCUCCGAAGCAUCUUCCCGAAACCCCUUUCCAAAGCAUCUUCCUGUAUCUCUCACCCAAAUCUCCCCUUCCCAAAAAAUCCUUCCCAAAAUACUUUUUCAGAGUCCCUUCCCAAAAUAUUUGCCCAAAGGGGCUCCCAGAGCGCCUCGUGCUGUCCCAACUCCCCUUUCCGAGGGAGAUUCCCAAAGCCCCUUCCCAAAAUUUCUUCCUGAAAUUCUUGCCCAAAGCGACUCCCAAAAGGAUCUUCCCAAAGGACCUUUCUCUUUCCCAAAACAUCUUCCCAAAACCCCAUCCCAAAGUCCGUUCCCAAAAACUGUUCCCAAGCAUUUUCCCAAAAACUUUUCCCAAAGCAUUUUCCCAAAAACUGUUCCCAAAGCAUUUUCCCAAGAACUGUUCCCAAAGCAUCUUCCCCAAAAACUGUUCCCAAAGCAUCUUCCCCAAAAUUUUCCCAAGGAAUGCUCCUCCUGCAGGCUCCUCGCACCUUCCCGAAGCCCCUUCCCAAAGCAUCUUCCCAAAAAUCCUGCUCCAAGCGCCUCACUCAUUCCUGAAGCCCCUUCCCACGACUCCUUCCCCAAACACCUUCCCAAAACGAUCCCUGACCCCGGUGCCUGCCGUGGGAAACACCCCCUGGAAUUCCCAGCAAGGAAUUCCCUCCUCCUUCCUUUUCCGUGGAAAAUGCCAGCCCUGGGAUGCUCUUGGCCUCCCCAAAGCAGCAGAAUUCCUGUCCUGAAAUCUCCCACUUCUUCCCAAGUGUUUGGGAAAGCCCCUCUGAGGAGCAGGGAAAGGGGCAGGAAUGGGCCACCGGCAUGGAAUUCCAUAAGAAUUUUAUGGAAAUGUUUAAUAUUCUUUUCCCGCUGCUGGAAAUUCAAGGAGAAAGUGGGAAAGCCUAAAAAAAAAAACCCCAAACAUUUGUGGGGUUUAAAGGGUUUCCCGUGGAGCAGAUUCCCACCCUCUGGAGGUAAAUCCAGGCUUUUCCAAGGCCAGAGCCAGAGCUCAAGCCGGAUCCGUGGGAUGCAGCCACAGCAUUCCCAACUUUCCAUGGAGCCUGGGGAAUUUUAUCAUCGCCCCCAGACAAAGCCAAGGGGCCGUGAAAUCGCAAAUGGGGUGGAGAAAGCACCGGGGCAGCGACAAUUCCAGAGGGGAGAGGGGCGAUGGCACCGCCGGAUUUCCCGUGGGGAAUGGGAAUUCCGGGAUCUCAUCCCCCCUGGAUGCUGCAGCGUCUUUGGGGCUCAGCCCCUCCCAAAUCCCGGGGUUCGAUCCCUCUUUUCCCACAGGGUCGGACCCCGGAGUCCCAGUUUUGCAACACAAACAAAAUCCUGA